rnacentral:rRNA from 1 species
AGUGAACGCUGGCGGUAGGCCUAACACAUGCAAGUCGAACGGAAGCACAGUAAGAGUUUGCUCUUACGGGUGGCGAGUGGCGGACGGGUGAGGAAUACAUCGGAAUCUACUUUUUCGUGGGGGAUAACGUAGGGAAACUUACGCUAAUACCGCAUACGACCUACGGGUGAAAGCAGGGGAUCUUCGGACCUUGCGCGAUUGAAUGAGCCGAUGUCGGAUUAGCUAGUUGGCGGGGUAAAGGCCCACCAAGGCGACGAUACGUAGCUGGUCUGAGAGGAUGAUCAGCCACACUGGAACUGAGACACGGUCCAGACUCCUACGGGAGGCAGCAGUGGGGAAUAUUGGACAAUGGGCGCAAGCCUGAUCCAGCCAUGCCGCGUGGGUGAAGAAGGCCUUCGGGUUGUAAAGCCCUUUUGUUGGGAAAGAAAAGCAGCAGGUUAAUACCCCGCUGUUCUGACGGUACCCAAAGAAUAAGCCCCGGCUAACUUCGUG